AACGAACGCUGGCGGCAUGCCUAACACAUGCAAGUCGAACGAGAUCUUCGGGUCUAGUGGCGCACGGGUGCGUAACGCGUGGGAAUCUGCCCUUUGGUUCGGAAUAACAGUUGGAAACGACUGCUAAUACCGGAUGAUGACGAAAGUCCAAAGAUUUAUCGCCAGAGGAUGAGCCCGCGUAGGAUUAGCUAGUUGGUGUGGUAAAGGUGCACCAAGGCGACGAUCCUUAGCUGGUCUGAGAGGAUGAUCAGCCACACUGGGACUGAGACACGGCCCAGACUCCUACGGGAGGCAGCAGUGGGGAAUAUUGGACAAUGGGCGAAAGCCUGAUCCAGCAAUGCCGCGUGAGUGAUGAAGGCCUUAGGGUUGUAAAGCUCUUUUACCCGGGAUGAUAAUGACAGUAUCGGGAGAAUAAGCUCCGGCUAACUCCGUGCCAGCAGCCGCCGUAA
rnacentral:rRNA from 1 species